rnacentral:rRNA from 1 species
AUGGCGUCUCAUGGAUAUCUACACCCGGCGAUAGAUCACCGUUCCAUCGUUGGAUACCGCCGCCAUCGAGCCUCGCGGCCCGCCGGACACUCCUACCUACUACGCAUGAGACGCGUCAAGCUUUUGGCUCGACCUCUAUUUGCUGAAAGUUGUAAUAUGCGAAGUGCCCACAGCAUCAGAAGACUACAUGGAUUACAAGCUCAUUGCCUUGUUCAACAUGGGAUUAGUCUAUCUGGAAUCCGGUCGACAUACAUGUACCAUAUAACUGGAAUUAACCGAUGCAAGUCGAAGAAGGAUUGGCCGGUGCUUCCGGCUGGCGUCAAGUUCGAUCCCGCGGAUCAGGAGCUGAUCGAGCACCUUGAGGCCAAAGUGAGUGCUGACAGCAUGAGAUCUCACCCUCACAUCGAUUUGUUCAUACCAACCAUCGACAGCGAGCACGGCAUAUGCUACACCCAUCCUGAGAAACUUCCAGGUAUCACAAUGAGUGGCCUAAGCAAGCAUUUCUUCCAGCGCAAUUCCAGGGCAUUCAAAAGGGGCACGUGGACGCGUCGCAAGAUACAGUCGGAGUGCGGCAUGCACGCGAUCUGGCACAACACCGGCAAUACCUUGCCGGUGAUGGUCAACGGCCGGCAGACGGGAAGCAAAAAGGUUCUGGUGCUGCACACCAACAAGAACUUCGACCAACAAAAGACCAACUAG